GACGGAAGGUGCAAGCGUUGCUCGGAAUCACUGGGCGUAAAGGGUGCGUAGGCGGCCGUGCAAGUCGGGCGUGAAAUCCCUGGGCUCAACCCAGGAACUGCACUCGAAACUACUUGUCUUGAGUGCCGGAGAGGAAAGCGGAAUUCCUGGUGUAGAGGUGAAAUUCGUAGAUAUCAGGAGGAACACCAGUGGCGAAGGCGGCUUUCUGGACCGACACUGACGCUGAGGCGCGAAAGCUAGGGGAGCAAACGGG
rnacentral:rRNA from 1 species